rnacentral:rRNA from 1 species
UUGGAGGGCAAGUCUGGUGCCAGCAGCCGCGGUAAUUCCAGCUCCAAUAGCGUAUAUUAAAGUUGUUGCAGUUAAAAAGCUCGUAGUUGAAUUUCGGGAUCAAUGUUUCGGUCAUGCCCUUGGCAUGUACUGAUAUUAUUGGUUUCUCACCUUCUAAAGAACCGUAAUGCCAUUAAUUUGGUGUCACGGGGAAUUAGGACUGUUACCUUGAAAAAAUUAGAGUGUUUAAAGCAGGCUCACGCUUGAAUACAUUAGCAUGGAAUAACGAAAUAGGACAUCCGAUUCUAUUUUGUUGGUUUCUAGGAUCGAUGUAAUGAUUAAUAGGGAUAGUUGGGGGCAUUAGUAUUCAAUUGUCAGGGGUGAAAUUCUUGGAUUUAUUGAAGACUAACUACUGCGAAAGCAUUUGCCAAGGAUGUUUUCAUUAAUCAAGAACGAAAGUUAGGGGAUCGAAGACGAUCAGAUACCGUCGUAGUCUUAACCAUAAACUAUGCCGACUAGGGAUCGGAUGAUGUUAAUUUUUUAAUGACUCAUUCGGCACCUUACGGGAAACCAAAG